rnacentral:miRNA from 1 species
AAAGAGCAGCAGAACUCAGCAG